rnacentral:rRNA from 1 species
GAUGAACGCUGGCGGCGUGCCUAAUACAUGCAAGUCGAGCGAAAAGACGAGGAGCUUGCUCCUCUGACGUUAGCGGCGGACGGGUGAGUAACACGUGGAUAACCUACCUAUAAGACUGGGAUCACUUCGGGAAACCGGAGCUAAUACCGGAUAAUAUAUUGAACCGCAUGGUUCAAUAGUGAACGACGGUUUUGCUGUCACUUAUAGAUGGAUCCGCGCCGCAUUAGCUAGUUGGUAAGGUAACGGCUUACCAAGGCAACGAUGCGUAGCCGACCUGAGAGGGUGAUCGGCCACACUGGAACUGAGACACGGUCCAGACUCCUACGGGAGGCAGCAGUGGGGAAUCUUCCGCAAUGGGCGAAAGCCUGACGGAGCAACGCCGCGUGAGUGAUGAAGGUCUUCGGAUUGUAAAACUCUGUUAUUAGGGAAGAACAAAUGUGUAAGUAACCAUGCACGUCUUGACGGUACCUAAUCAGAAAGCCACGGCUAACUACGUG